rnacentral:tRNA from 1 species
CCAGCGCCUCGGGGCGAGCCCAACGGAGCCCCCGUCUCCGGCCAGGGGUUCGAAUCCCCUGGCGCUCGG